rfam:Beta vulgaris subsp. vulgaris Bvchr2.sca014.con0080.1, whole genome shotgun sequence.
UAGCCUAUGAAGAAAUCAGUUUAAAAAACACCAUCUUUCGGGACUGAAUGGCCCCCUAAAAGGGCCUUGCUGUUACAAUUCUGCAAUUCUGAGGCUU